rnacentral:rRNA from 1 species
AAGUAGACGGCGGACGGUAGUAACACGUACGGCAACCUGCCCAGCAAGACUGGGAUAACGUCCGAUAACGGAUGCUAAUACGGAUACGUUGAUCUCUCGCAUGGGCGGUCAUGGAAAGGCGGAGCAAUCUGCCGUUGUGGAUGGGCCUGCGGCGCAUUAGCUAGUUGGUGGGUAGACGGCUCAC